AUUGAACGCUGGCGGCAGGCCUAACACAUGCAAGUCGAGCGGUUGAGGUAGCUUGCUACCGAUGCAGCGGCGAACGGGUGAAUAAUACAUGGGAAUCUGCCUGGUAGUGGGGGACAACGUCUCGAAAGGGACGCUAAUACCGCAUACGCCCUACGGGGGACAGGGGGGGAUCUUCGGACCUCUCACUAUCCGAUGAGCCCAUGUCGGAUUAGCUUGUUGGUGAGGUAAAGGCUCACCAAGGCGACGAUCCGUAACUGGUCUGAGAGGAUGAUCAGUCACACUGGAACCGAGACACGGUCCAGACUCCUACGGGAGGCAGCAGUGGGGAAUAUUGGACAAUGGGCGCAAGCCUGAUCCAGCCAUGCCGCGUGUGUGAAGAAGGCCUUAGGGUUGUAAAGCACUUUCAGUGGGGAGAAAGGUCAUUCACCUAAUACGUGAGUGAAUUGAUGUUACCCACAGAAGAAGCACCGGCUAACUCCGUGCCAGCAGCCGCCGUAA
rnacentral:rRNA from 1 species